CCUACGGGGUGCAGCAGUGGGGAAUAUUGGGCAAUGGACGCAAGUCUGACCCAGCAACGCCGCGUGAAGGAAGAAGGCUUUCGGGUUGUAAACCUCUUUUAUAAGGGAAGAAUAAUGACUACGUGUAGUCAGAUGCCCGUACCUUAUGAAUAAGCAUCGGCUAACUCCGUGCCAGCAGCCGCGGUAAUACGGAGGAUGCGAGCGUUAUCCGGAUUUAUUGGGUUUAAAGGGUGCGUAGGCGGUAUUUUAAGUUAGUGGUAAAACGUCGGGGCUUCACCUUGAUUGGCCAUUAAAACUGGAGUACUAGAGUACAGACGAGGUAGGCGGAAUAAGUUAAGUAGCGGUGAAAUGCUUAGAUAUAACUUAGAACCCCGAUAGCGAAGGCAGCUUACCAGACUGUUACUGACGCUGAAGCACGAGAGCGUGGGUAGCGAACAGGAUUAGAUACCCCUGUAGUC
rnacentral:rRNA from 1 species